rnacentral:tRNA from 1 species
CAUUCGAUAGCUCAGUCGGGUAGAGCAGCCCUCGCAGAGGGCCUGUCGCGGGUUCGAGUCCCGCUCGAAUAC